ACACGACUCUCGGCAACGGAUAUCUCGGCUCUCGCAUCGAUGAAGAACGUAGCGAAAUGCGAUACCUGGUGUGAAUUGCAGAAUCCCGCGAACCAUCGAGUCUUUGAACGCAAGUUGCGCCCGAGGCCUCUUGGCUGAGGGCACGCCUGCCUGGGCGUCACGC
rnacentral:rRNA from 5 species